rnacentral:rRNA from 1 species
AGCGAACGCUAGCGGCAGGCUUAACACAUGCAAGUCGAGCGCCAGGUUUCGGCCUGGAGCGGCGAACGGGUGAGUAACACGUAGGUCACGUACCCUAUGGUGGGGAAUACCCCGGGGAAACUCGGAUCAAUGCCCCAUAUGUCCGAAAGGAUGAAAGCGCUUCGGCGCGCCAGAGGAUCGGCCUGCGGCCCAUUAUUUAAUCCUAGUUGGUGAGGUAACGGCUCACCAAGGGUACGAUGGGUAGCUGGUCUGAGAGGACGAUCAGCCACACUGGAACUGGGUAACGGUCCAGACUCCUACGGGAGGCAGCAGUGGGGAAUAUUGGACAAUGGGCGAAAGCCUGAUCCAGCCAUGCCGCGUGAGUGAUGAAGGCCUUCGGGUUGUAAAGCUCUGUCGUGGGGGAAGAAGUUCUGACGGUACCCCACAAGAAAGCACCGGCUAACUCCGUGCCAGCCGCCGCGGUAAAAC